ACGGAAAGGUCUCUUCGGAGAUACUCGAGUGGCGAACGGGUGAGUAACACGUGGGUGAUCUGCCCUGCACUUCGGGAUAAGCUUGGGAAACUGGGUCUAAUACCGGAUAGGACUCCGAGAUGCAUGUCUUGGGGUGGAAAGUUUUUAACGGUGUGGGAUGGGCCCGCGGCCUAUCAGCUUGUUGGUGGGGUGAUGGCCUACCAAGGCGACGACGGGUAGCCGGCCUGAGAGGGUGUCCGGCCACACUGGGACUGAGAUACGGCCCAGACUCCUACGGGAGGCAGCAGUGGGGAAUAUUGCACAAUGGGCGCAAGCCUGAUGCAGCGACGCCGCGUGGGGGAUGACGGCCUUCGGGUUGUAAACCUCUUUCACCAUCGGCGAAGCCGGGGGCUUUUGUUUCCGGUGACGGUAGGUGGAGAAGAAGCACUGGCCAACUACGUGCCAGCAGCCGCGGUAAUACGUAGGGUGCGAGCGUUGUCCGGAAUUACUGGGCGUAAAGAGCUCGUAGGUGGUUUGUCGCGUUGUUCGUGAAAUUCCCUGGCUUAACUGGGGGCGGGCGGGCGAUA
rnacentral:rRNA from 1 species